rnacentral:misc_RNA from 1 species
GUAUCUCAUUCUGAGUGGUGUGGUGGCCUAAUGUUAAAUUGCUCAAAAUAGCAUUGCAAAUUUGUUUGCAAUAAGUACAAUGGGCGCACCUAAACGGGUAGAGGCGCACUGCCUAAAAGUAGAUUGUUUGAGGGUGAUUCUGAUGACAACAAUUGAAAGGAGUCAGUGCCGAAGCUAAUUACGUUAAUCAAGCGUGCUUAGCUGGGGUUAUUUCGAAAAGGAAUAACACUGCCAUAGUCAAUUUUAUUUUUUAACUAUGGAGCGCUACUGUGGGGAAAUGGUUUACAUUCACUUCCUUUAUAACGGCUUUGCCGUAUCAACAGUA